UAUUGCACAAUUGGUGUAACCUUGAUGCAGCGACGCCGCGUGAGCGAAGAAGUAUUUCGGUAUGUAAAGCUCUAUCAGCAGGGAAGAAAAUGACGGUACCUGACUAAGAAGCUCCGGCUAAAUACGUGCCAGCAGCCGCGGUAAUACGUAUGGAGCAAGCGUUAUCCGGAUUUACUGGGUGUAAAGGGAGCGUAGGCGGCCUGGCAAGUCUGGUGUGAAAUACCGGGGCCCAACCCCGGGACUGCAUUGGAAACUGCCAGGCUGGAGUGUCGGAGGGGCAGGCGGAAUUCCUAGUGUAGCGGUGAAAUGCGUAGAUAUUAGGAGGAACACCGGUGGCGAAGGCGGCUUACUGGACUGUAACUGACACUGAGGCUCGAAAGCGUGGGGAGCAAACAGG
rnacentral:rRNA from 1 species